GGCUGCGCCGGGCUCCUGCAUCUGUUGUGAUUCUGAUGAAGAAAGCGCAUCCAUUCACCAGCAACAGAAAAGAAAAACUCCCACUGAAGCGACUGAGAGACGCACUAUUAUAAAGAUGGCGUUUAUUAAAGAGGAGACAUGAAGAUUGAAGAAGCAUUCAGAGUCAAACAUGAAGAUACUGAGGAACAAACAGGUUAGUUUUCCUUCUCAAAGCUGAACUCACUCAUUUGAUCCUU
ensembl:lncRNA